GGUUAUGUGGUGUUGUUGGUUUAUCACACCAGUCCAACACACUGUAGGCCUUCGGUUCGAUCUCGGACGGAACCA